rnacentral:lncRNA from 1 species
UGUCUGCGGCCGGUUGCGCACCAUUUUAUCUUGUACUAAUGUUUAUUUGUAAUAAAUAAACUACUUCCAUUUAAUUCUACAUACAUUGAUAACGUUGAGUCGAGCUUGCUCCUCCGUUGCUGUGUUUUGGUGAAAUUAAGUGUGUAUUUGUGAGAUAUAGACUCGGUGUUGAGACAGUGACUUGUUUGAUUUUGUUUUGUGUUUAAUUCGCGAUGAGUUCACAAAAAGAAAACACAAGAAUCUGCUGCUUGUGUGGAUCUUCACCUUCUAAAGAUCCCAGCAUCACUUUGCAUCGGUUUCCAAAGCCUGGCACUAAAAAUGCUCUGCGUUGUGAAUUAUGGGCAAAGUAUUGCUUCCCAAACGAAGCCUGGUCUUCACCAAAAUUCCAGGACGCACUCCAUAAACAACAUAAGAUGCUAUGCAGCAAACAUUUCAAAAGCACAUGCUUUAAUGAGAAGAAGUUGUUCAGAACAGCUGUACCUGAUGUUAAUUAUUAACAUGCUAAAUAAAAAACUCUUGUACUGUAA